rnacentral:rRNA from 1 species
CAGUCGCCACGGUAACACGGAGGGUGCAAGCGUUAAUCGGAAUUACUGGGCGUAAAGCGCACGCAGGCGGUCUGACAAGUCAGAUGUGAAAUCCCCGGGCUUAACCUGGGAACUGCAUUUGAAACUGUCAGGCUGGAGUCUUGUAGAGGGGGGUAGAAUUCCAGGUGUAGCGGUGAAAUGCGUAGAGAUCUGGAGGAAUACCGGUGGCGAAGGCGGCCCCCUGGACAAAGACUGACGCUCAGGUGCGAAAGCGUGGGGAGCAAACAGGAUUAGAUACCCCGGUAGUCCCUGUCUCUUAUAU